GCAGUGAAAUGAUGAUGAAAAUAUUAAUUGCAUAGUUCAACUGAUAUAUAUGAAGAUAAAAAUACCAUCAAAUAGUCUUUCACCCCUAUCUGAUUCACAAU
rnacentral:snoRNA from 14 species